rnacentral:rRNA from 1 species
GACGAACGCUGGCGGCGUGCCUAAUACAUGCAAGUCGAGCGCAGGAAACUGACGGAACUCUUCGGAGGGAAGGCAGCGGAAUGAGCGGCGGGCGGGUGAGUAACACGUAAGGAACCUGCCUCAAGGAUUGGGAUAACUCCGAGAAAUCGGAGCUAAUACCGGAUAGUUCAACGGACCGCAUGGUCCGCUGAUGAAAGGCGCUCCGGCGUCACCUUGAGAUGGCCUUGCGGUGCAUUAGCUAGUUGGUGGGGUAACGGCCCACCAAGGCGACGAUGCAUAGCCGACCCGAGAGGGUGAUCGGCAACACGGGGACUGAGACACGGCCCAGACUCCUACGGGAGGCAGUAGUAGGGAAUCUUCCACAAUGGACGAAAGUCUGAUGGAGCAGCGCCGCGUGAGUGAUGAAGGUUUUCGGAUCGUAAAACUCUGUUGUAAGGGAAGAACACGUACGAGAGGGAAUGCUCGUACCUUGACGGUACCUUACGAGAAAGCCACGGCUAACUACGUGCCAGCCGCCGCCGUAACAC